AUUGAACGCUGGCGGCAGGCCUAACACAUGCAAGUCGAGCGGAUGAAGGGAGCUUGCUCCUGGAUUCAGCGGCGGACGGGUGAGUAAUGCCUAGGAAUCUGCCUGGUAGUGGGGGAUAACGUCCGGAAACGGGCGCUAAUACCGCAUACGUCCUGCGGGAGAAAGUGGGGGAUCUUCGGACCUCACGCUAUCAGAUGAGCCUAGGUCGGAUUAGCUAGUUGGUGGGGUAAAGGCCUACCAAGGCGACGAUCCGUAACUGGUCUGAGAGGAUGAUCAGUCACACUGGAACUGAGACACGGUCCAGAGUCCUACGGGAGGCAGCAGUGUGGAAUAUUGGACAAUGGGCGAAAGCCUGAUCCAGCCAUGCCGCGUGUGUGAAGAAGGUCUUCGGAUUGUAAAGCACUUUAAGUGGGGAGGAAGGGCAGUAAGUUAAUACCUUGCUGUUUUGACGUUACCAACAGAAUAAGCACCGGCUAACUUCGUG
rnacentral:rRNA from 1 species